rnacentral:lncRNA from 1 species
CCCCCUUCCUUUGGAGACCCCUUCUUGCAAGUUAGUAGGUGCCUCCUGACCCUUCCCAUCCACACCUCUAACAACUACCUCAACAAUAAUAUUGUCAACAUUUGUAAUGGGGUUAGGGGAUGGGAGCAUUAAGUUAAUACGUGUAACAGUUUGUCCUGUAGAUACUUCCUGUCUUAUAUUAAUCUGAGUUACCUGUGCAGGACUUUUAUCCUCCUGUACAGGUCUGUUAAUGUUGUCCUGUC